GCCCAGGAGUGUAGAAGCUGCUGGAGAGAUUAUAUAGACGAGAGAGGAAGAGGGAUGCUGGAGAGAAAGAGGAUCCAGGAGAAUCUGGACGCCGGAGGCCUCCGCUCAGCUCGCCUGGUAUUCGGAGCGUGUCUGAUUGUCUCCUCUUCUAGCAUCCUCCAACGGCCCUUUGCUGGAGCCAGUUCACACAGCAGACGGAAGGACAGGAGGACAGGAGGACAGAAGGACAGGAGGACCGGAGGACAGAGGGUCGGGACGCUACAGGCUGAGAUUGCACUGCACUUCAGACUUCAGACGCUACAGCGCUAGACUGUCUGGCGAAGAGCAUUUUAGUUUUUCGCUAAUAACGAGUGUGUAGCCACGGAUAUAAUGAUUGCACAGCAUUACCGUCUUCUUAUCUCUCAGGAUUCAUACGUCUAUGGACAGUCAUACUUCGGUUGGCUUGCCUGAUUCUUCCGACGUUCGUCUUCGAGUACCUCACUUCCUGCCGUCUAUUGAUGACCUUGGGAUUUGACCUAGCGCAUAUAGCUGUGAACUCACAAAUAGCUUUACGGAAGAGGCUUUUGGAUACUGAUGGAUGACUGAUCCCUGGUGAUGUAUAUCGAGGUUCCAAGACGGACGGUAUAGUCGGGAAAAUAAGACGUGGGACGCAACUCUGAAACGUUUCCACUCGAAUUUACUAAUCUGGGAAUGGUAGCAGAGAAAUUGAGUAUUGGAUACGUCAAUGUGGAGCAGGAUUGUCAGUGCUGGUACGGUACCGUUUGAGCUCCGUGGAUUUAUGGUCAGGGUGAUGUAUGGUGAUCUUUGGGAACGAGUGCCAUUGGUUCUGAGAAUGCCUAAUUAAGGGCUAAAAAUACUCCGAGUACAAAGCCUUGGGUCCAGGGACACAGGGGACCGCUCCAAUGCUGCCGAGGUGGGUGCGAGCAACGAGAGAACGAAAAGUCUGGCCGGUAUCGCUGCGGAGAUCAGCGAGGCAUUGUAAGCUGCCCCAUUGAUUCCAGACAGUCAUUUUCAUCGAUUUCUACAUUGGUGAGCGCAGCUAUCAUAUUGACUGAAGAAUUAUUUUAUAUCCGAUGAGAAAAAAAGUCCAAAUCUGAAUGGAACUUUUGAGAGAAAAAAAAAAAGAUUAUUUACCCAUUAAAGGCUGGACCAGCACACGUAUUUUGAGCGUAACAGAUGAUCAACAGCAGUGCAAGUCGCGUUGAAGAGUAGUGCCAAGAAAGGAUGUAGGAAAGGAAAAAUUGUGGAAACGGAAGGAAGCACGUAUAGAAAGGGAAAAGAGAUCAAUAAAAAAAUCUUGUGAAAUGGACCCUUCUUCGCCCAUUUCUUGCUUGACGAAAUUCGGAGCAGGUUACACGUAAGGAACCACGUUCGUCACCGGAAGCGAACCACGUUAACCGUCGAUCAGCGCCCAAAGUGUUCCCGACAGAGGUGAUUAGAAGUUACUGGGUGACUGUAAGUGCACCCAUACACCAAGUGGAGUAGCACAAUCGAUCUGACAAUAGUCGGUUCACGCAGAUAGAAAAAAUAAUUGUGAAAUUGUUAAGAAGGCAUGAAUAACGUGUACGAAUUUAUUUUUCGAUAUAAACAGUAUUACCAACCUAUCGACGUGAUACUAAACAUACGUAUAAGUAAUUCCCACUGUCGAUUCCACCUUUAUAAUUAUAACUCACAAUGAUAAGCAGGAAAAUAAUAAGGUAGAAUUAUCAAGACUUAAAUCACGUUCUGUAUUUUUGAGAUAAUAAUCAUAGUCAAUUUUUAAUUGAACAAUAGAUAAUAAUUAGCCAUAGUUAAUCAAGCAAUGUUAACGUGAAAUGUACGCGCGAGCCUGCUAACGCGUAAAGCAGCGUAAAUAAACUAGUUUCGGUUAUCCCGA